AGCGAACGCUGGCGGCAGGCUUAACACAUGCAAGUCGAGCGCCCAGCAAUGGGAGCGGCAGACGGGUGAGUAACACGUGGGAACGUGCCUUUUGGUUCGGAACAACCCAGGGAAACUUGGGCUAAUACCGGAUAAGCCCUUACGGGGAAAGAUUUAUCGCCAAAAGAUCGGCCCGCGUCUGAUUAGCUAGUUGGUGAGGUAAUGGCUCACCAAGGCUACGAUCAGUAGCUGGUCUGAGAGGAUGAUCAGCCACAUUGGGACUGAGACACGGCCCAAACUCCUACGGGAGGCAGCAGUGGGGAAUCUUGGACAAUGGGCGCAAGCCUGAUCCAGCCAUGCCGCGUGAGUGAUGAAGGCCUUAGGGUUGUAAAGCUCUUUUGUGCGGGAAGAUAAUGACGGUACCGCAAGAAUAAGCCCCGGCUAACUUCGUGCCAGCAGCCGCGGU
rnacentral:rRNA from 1 species